rnacentral:rRNA from 1 species
AGAGUUUGAUCCUGGCUCAGGACGAACGCUGGCGGCGUGCUUAACACAUGCAAGUCGAGCGAAAAGGCCCUUCGGGGUACUCGAGCGGCGAACGGGUGAGUAACACGUGAGUAACCUGCCCCUGACUCUGGGAUAAGCCCGGGAAACUGGGUCUAAUACCGGAUAUGACACCUCCUCGCAUUGGGUGGGUGUGGAAAGUUUUUCGGUUGGGGAUGGACUCGCGGCCUAUCAGCUUGUUGGUGGGGUAAUGGCCUACCAAGGCGACGACGGGUAGCCGGCCUAGAGGGCGACCGGCCACACUGGGACUGAGACACGGCCCAGACUCCUACGGGAGGCAGCAGUGGGGAAUAUUGCGCAAUGGGCGAAAGCCUGACGCAGCGACGCCGCGUGGGGGAUGACGGCCUUCGGGUUGUAAACCUCUUUCAGCAGGGACGAAGUUGACGUGUACCUGCAGAAGAAGCGCCGGCUAACUACGUGCCAGCAGCCGCGGUAAUACGUAGGGCGCAAGCGUUGUCCGGAAUUAUUGGGCGUAAAGAGCUCGUAGGUUGCUUGUCACGUCGGGUGUGAAAGCUUGGGGCUUAACUCCAGGUCUGCAUUCGAUACGGGCUGGCUAGAGGUAGGUAGGGGAGAACGGAAUUCCUGGUGUAGCGGUGAAAUGCGCAGAUAUCAGGAGGAACACCGGUGGCGAAGGCGGUUCUCUGGGCCUUACCUGACGCUGAGGAGCGAAAGCGUGGGGAGCGAACAGGAUUAGAUACCCUGGUAGUCCACUCCGUAAACGUUGGGCGCUAGGUGUGGGGACCUUCCACGGUUUCCGCGCCGUAGCUAACGCAUUAAGCGCCCCGCCUGGGGAGUACGGCUGCAAGGCUAAAACUCAAAGGAAUUGACGGGGGCCCGCACAAGCGGCGGAGCAUGUUGCUUAAUUCGACGCAACGCGAAGAACCUUACCAAGGCUUGACAUUGCCCGGAAACACUCAGAGAUGGGUGCCUCUUCGGAUCGGGUGACAGGUGGUGCAUGGCUGUCGUCAGCUCGUGUCGUGAGAUGUUGGGUUAAGUCCCGCAACGAGCGCAACCCUUGUUCAAUGUUGCCAGCACGCUCCUUCGGGGGUGGUAGGGACUCAUUGGAGACUGCCGGGGUCAACUCGGAGGAAGGUGGGGAUGACGUCAAGUCAUCAUGCCCCUUAUGUCUUGGGCUGCAAACAUGCUACAAUGGCCGGUACAGAGGGCUGCGAUACCGCAAGGUGGAGCGAAUCCCUAAAAGCCGGUCUCAGUUCGGAUUGGGGUCUGCAACUCGACCCCAUGAAGUCGGAGUCGCUAGUAAUCGCAGAUCAGCAACGCUGCGGUGAAUACGUUCCCGGGCCUUGUACACACCGCCCGUCACGUCACGAAAGUCGGCAACACCCGAAGCCCGUGGCCCAACCAGCUUGCUGGGGGGAGCGGUCGAAGGUGGGGCUGGCGAUUGGGACGAAGUCGUAACAAGGUA